rnacentral:piRNA from 1 species
UGCCUCACACAGAAACCCCACAGGUCC